AACCUAUGGUGAGGGCACCAUUCCAAUAAGUCCUUAUACCUCUCCCAUGCAUCAUAUAGGGUUUCUAAGUCGAUUUGAAUGAAGGAAGAGAUAUCAUUCCUUAACAU
rfam:Gossypium arboreum cultivar AKA8401 contig_4209_11, whole genome shotgun sequence.